GACGAACGCUGGCGGCGUGCUUAACACAUGCGAGUCGAACGGAAAGGCCCAGCUUGCUGGGUACUCGAGUGGCGAACGGGUGAGUAACACGUGGGUGAUCUGCCCUGCACUCUGGGAUAAGCCUGGGAAACUGGGUCUAAUACCGGAUAUGACCAACUGUCGCAUGGUGGUUGGUGGAAAGCUUUUGCGGUGUGGGAUGGGCCCGCGGCCUAUCAGCUUGUUGGUGGGGUAAUGGCCUACCAAGGCGACGACGGGUAGCCGACCUGAGAGGGUGAUCGGCCACACUGGGACUGAGACACGGCCCAGACUCCUACGGGAGGCAGCAGUGGGGAAUAUUGCACAAUGGGCGCAAGCCUGAUGCAGCGACGCCGCGUGAGGGAUGACGGCCUUCGGGUUGUAAACCUCUUUCACCAGGGACGAAGCGUGAGUGACGGUACCUGGAGAAGAAGUACCGGCCAACUACGUG
rnacentral:rRNA from 1 species